UCGGGAAUAUUGCGCAAUGGAGGAAACUCUGACGCAGUGACGCCGCGUAUAGGAUGAAGGUUUUCGGAUUGUAAACUAUUGUCAUUAGGGAAGAUAAAAGACAGUACCUAAGGAGGAAGCUCCGGCUAACUACGUGCCAGCAGCCGCGGUAAUACGUAGGGAGCAAGCGUUAUCCGGAUUUAUUGGGUGUAAAGGGUGCGUAGACGGGAAAUUAAGUUAGUUGUGAAAGCCCUCGGCUUAACUGAGGAACUGCAACUAAAACUGGUUUUCUUGAGUGCAGGAGAGGUAAGUGGAAUUCCUAGUGUAGCGGUGAAAUGCGUAGAUAUUAGGAGGAACACCAGUGGCGAAGGCGACUUACUGGACUGUAACUGACGUUGAGGCACGAAAGUGUGGGGAGCAA
rnacentral:rRNA from 1 species